GUUGUUCUAAAAGUUUCCAAUGCUACACUAAGGAUAAUCACUUAUCUUUAUGUGCAAGAUAAUGGACAAGGCUUAGAACUUGAAGAAUAAAGCUUGGAGUCCAUGAUAUAAUUUUGGGCCGCAUGGCCCAAGCUAAAGAAAGGCUUAAAUUAAAUGAUUAGGUGUUUUGGGUUGUUAGAUUUUAAGUUAAGGUUAAAUAUACAUGUAAAAUACUUAACUUCUUGGGUUUAUUUGGGCUUGUAGGUUGGCCCAUGUCUUGAUAUAUUAGCUAGGGUUUUUACUUUGACUUUUAUGCCUAGGAUUAUGAUGAUUACAUGCCUAUAUAAAGGCUACAACUAUGAAAAACAAAAAUAGACAUAUCAUUAAUAAUUUUGAGGUAUUUUCAGCAAACUUUACUUUGUUUCCUUAUGUUCUUGGAAGAAUGCAUCAUCUUGACUUAUCAAAGGAGUGAUCAACCUUUAUGGCAUCUUAAGAUUGGGGUUUUAAGGAUUUAGUUUCCUUAGGGUUCUAAUCUGAUUGAUCCAACUUGUUUUCUAGCUUUUCUAGGGUGUGCAUAACGGAUUGAUUCAAGGGUUCCUAGGGCAAGUCGUCUAACGGGUUGUAGGUCGCCCAGCGGGUUCUUUAUCAUUUGGUAUCAGAGCCUUGGUUCUAGAAACAGGUGAUUCGAAGACGAAUCCUUUCGAGGAGAGGGGGAAUGAUGAAGAUCAAGGUGUUGAUCAAGGGCAGCAAAACAAGUAUUCCCAAGAUCCUUUGCAAGGAAUUGGUGGUCCAAUGACUAGAGCAAGGACAAAUAAGAUGAAAGAGGUUUUACAAGGCUUAAUCAUGGAGAUGCAUGACAAAGAGGUUGUUCUAGAAGUUUCCAAUGCUACACCAAGGAUAAUCACUUAUCUUUAUGUGCAAGAUAAUGGACAAGGCUUAGAACUUGCAGAAUAAAGCUUAGAGUCCAUGAUAUAAUUCCGGGUCAUAUGGCCCAAACUAAAGAAAGGCUUAAAUUAAAUGAUUAGGUGUUUUGGGUUGUUAGAUUUUAAGUUAAGGCUAAAUAUACAUGUAAAAGACUUAACUUUUUGGGUUUAUUUGGGCUUGUAGGUUGGCCCAUGUCUUGAUAUAUUAGCUAGGGUUUUUACUUUGAC